rnacentral:rRNA from 1 species
CUGCCUCAAAGAGGGGAAUAGCCUCCCGAAAGGGAGAUUAAUACCGCUUAAUAUGUUUUGGUCGCAUGAUUGAAACAUCAAAGGAUUCUUUUAGAAUCCACUUUGAGAUGGACCCGCGGCGCAUUAGCUAGUUGGUGAGGUAACGGCUCACCAAGGCGACGAUGCGUAGCCGACCUGAGAGGGUGAUCGGCCACAUUGGAACUGAGACACGGUCCAGACUCCUACGGGAGGCAGCAGUGGGGAAUAUUGCGCAAUGGGGGAAACCCUGACGCAGCAACGCCGCGUGAAUGAUGAAGGCCUUCGGGUUGUAAAGUUCUGUCUUCUGGGACGAUAAUGACGGUACCAGAGGAGGAAGCCACGGCUAACUACGUGCCAGCAGCCGCGGUAAUACGUAGGUGGCAAGCGUUGUCCGGAUUUACUGGGCGUAAAGGAUGCGUAGGCGGACAUUUAAGUCAGAUGUGAAAUACCCGAGCUUAACUUGGGUGCUGCAUUUGAAACUGGGUGUCUAGAGUGCAGGAGAGGUAAGUGGAAUUCCUAGUGUAGCGGUGAAAUGCGUAGAGAUUAGGAAGAACACCAGUGGCGAAG